AUUGAACGCUGGCGGCAGGCCUAACACAUGCAAGUCGAGCGGCAGCGGAAAGUAGCUUGCUCCUUUGCCGGCGAGCGGCGGACGGGUGAGUAAUGUCUGGGGAUCUGCCUGAUGGAGGGGGAUAACUACUGGAAACGGUAGCUAAUACCGCAUAACGUCGCAAGACCAAAGCGGGGGACCUUCGGGCCUCGCGCCAUCAGAUGAACCCAGAUGGGAUUAGCUAGUAGGUGGGGUAAUGGCUCACCUAGGCGACGAUCCCUAGCUGGUCUGAGAGGAUGACCAGCCACACUGGAACUGAGACACGGUCCAGACUCCUACGGGAGGCAGCAGUGGGGAAUAUUGCACAAUGGGCGCAAGCCUGAUGCAGCCAUGCCGCGUGUAUGAAGAAGGCCUUCGGGUUGUAAAGUACUUUCAGCGAGGAGGAAGGCGGUAAGGUUAAUAACCUUACUGAUUGACGUUACUCGCAGAAGAAGCACCGGCUAACUCCGUG
rnacentral:rRNA from 1 species